rnacentral:rRNA from 1 species
GACGAACGCUGGCGGCGUGCUUAACACAUGCAAGUCGAACGAAGAGCGACGGAAGCUUGCUUCUAUCAAUCUUAGUGGCGAACGGGUGAGUAACGCGUAAUCAACCUGCCCUUCAGAGGGGGACAACAGUUGGAAACGACUGCUAAUACCGCAUACGAUCUAAUCUCGGCAUCGAGGAUAGAUGAAAGGUGGCCUCUACAUGUAAGCUAUCACUGAAGGAGGGGAUUGCGUCUGAUUAGCUAGUUGGAGGGGUAACGGCCCACCAAGGCGAUGAUCAGUAGCCGGUCUGAGAGGAUGAACGGCCACAUUGGGACUGAGACACGGCCCAGACUCCUACGGGAGGCAGCAGUGGGGAAUCUUCCGCAAUGGACGAAAGUCUGACGGAGCAACGCCGCGUGAGUGAUGACGGCCUUCGGGUUGUAAAGCCCUGUUAAUCGGGACGAAAGGCCUUCUUGCGAA